GACGAACGCUGGCGGCGUGCCUAAUACAUGCAAGUAGAACGCACAGUUUAUACCGUAGCUUGCUACACCAUAGACUGUGAGUUGCGAACGGGUGAGUAACGCGUAGGUAACCUGCCUGGUAGCGGGGGAUAACUAUUGGAAACGAUAGCUAAUACCGCAUAAUAUUAAUUAUUGCAUGAUAAUUAAUUGAAAGGUGCAAUUGCACCACUACCAGAUGGACCUGCGUUGUAUUAGCUAGUAGGUGAGGUAACGGCUCACCUAGGCGACGAUACAUAGCCGACCUGAGAGGGUGAUCGGCCACACUGGGACUGAGACACGGCCCAGGCGCCUACGGGAGGCAGCAGGAGGGAAUCUUCGGCAAUGGACGAAAGUCUGAACGAGCAACGCCGCGUGAGUGAAGAAGGUUUUCGGAUCGUAAAGGUCUGUUGUAAGAGAAGAAAGGGUGUGAGAGUGGAAAGUUCACACUGUGACGGUAUCUUACCAGAAAGGGACGGCUAACUACGUG
rnacentral:rRNA from 1 species